rnacentral:rRNA from 1 species
CAGCCGCCACGGGAAUACGUAGGUGGCGAGCGUUGUCCGGAAUUAUUGGGCGUAAAGGGAGCGCAGGCGGGCGAGUAAGUCUUUCUUAAAAGUGCGGGGCUCAACCCCGUGAGGGGAUGGAAACUGUAUGCCUUGAGUGCAGGAGAGGAAAGCGGAAUUCCCAGUGUAGCGGUGAAAUGCGUAGAUAUUGGGAGGAACACCAGUGGCGAAGGCGGCUUUCUGGACUGUAACUGACGCUGAGGCUCGAAAGCCAGGGGAGCGAACGGGAUUAGAUACCCGAGUAGUCCCUGUCUCUUAUACC